GGGGAAUAUUGGGCAAUGGGCGCAAGCCUGACCCAGCAACGCCGCGUGAGGGAAGAAGGUUUUCGGAUUGUAAACCUCUGUCGCAGAAGACGAAGGAAGUGACGGUAUUCUGUGAGGAAGCCCCGGCUGACUACGUGCCAGCAGCCGCGGUCAUACGUAGGGGGCGAGCGUUGUCCGGAAUUACUGGGCGUAAAGGGAGUGUAGGCGGUCUUUUAAGUUGGAUGUGAAAUCCCCGGGCUUAACUUGGGGGGUGCAUUCAAAACUGGGGGACUAGAGUACAGGAGAGGGAAGCGGAAUUCCUAGUGUAGCGGUGAAAUGCGUAGAUAUUAGGAGGAACACCGGUGGCGAAGGCGGCUUUCUGGACUGACACUGACGCUGAGGCUCGAAAGCGUGGGGAGCAAAC
rnacentral:rRNA from 1 species